AUACUUACCCGCCAGGGGAGAUUCCAUGAUUGCAAAGAUGGUUUUCCCAGGGCGAGGCUUGCCCAUUGCACUCUGGAUGUCCUGACCCCUGCGAUUUCCCCAAAUGUGGGAAACUCAAUUCAUAAUACGUGGUAGUGGGGGACUGUGUGCAUUCUCUCCUC
ensembl:snRNA U1 U1 spliceosomal RNA